ACGGAAGGCAGCAGUGGGGAAUAUUGGGCAAUGGGCGAAAGCCUGACCCAGCAACGCCGCGUGAGGGAAGAAGGCUUUCGGGUUGUAAACCUCUGUCCUUGGUGACGAAGGAAGUGACGGUAGCCAAGGAGGAAGCCCCGGCUAACUACGUGCCAGCAGCCGCGGUAAUACGUAGGGGGCGAGCGUUGUCCGGAAUUACUGGGCGUAAAGGGUGCGUAGGUGGUCUACUAAGUUGGAUGUGAAAUCCCCGGGCUUAACUUGGGGUCUGCAUCCAAGACUGGCGGACUAGAGUGCAGGAGAGGAAAGCGGAAUUCCUAGUGUAGCGGUGAAAUGCGUAGAUAUUAGGAGGAACACCAGUGGCGAAGGCGGCUUGCUGGACGACAACUGACGCUGAGGCGCGAAAGCGUGGGGAGCAAACAGGAUUAGAUACCCUGGUA
rnacentral:rRNA from 1 species